GAUGAACGCUAGCGACAGGCCUAACACAUGCAAGUCGAGGGGCAUCACAUGAAGUAGCAAUACGGAUGGUGGCGACCGGCGCACGGGUGAGUAACACGUAUGCAACCUGCCUUCAACAAGGGGAUAACCCGUUGAAAGACGGACUAAUACCCUAUAACACAGGGGUCCCGCAUGGGAAUAUUUGUUAAAGGACAACCGGUUGAAGAUGGGCAUGCGUUCCAUUAGCUAGUUGGCGGGGUAACGGCCCACCAAGGCAACGAUGGAUAGGGGAACUGAGAGGUUUAUCCCCCACACUGGUACUGAGACACGGACCAGACUCCUACGGGAGGCAGCAGUAAGGAAUAUUGCUCAAUGGCCGAAAGGCUGAAGCAGCAACGCCGCGUGGAGGAUGAAAUACUUUUGUAUGUAAACUCCUGUAAGAAGGGAAAAUAUUUCGAUUUAUCGGAAUUGAUUGUACCUUCAGAGUAAGCACCGGCUAACUACGUGCCAGCAGCCGCGGUAAUUACGC
rnacentral:rRNA from 1 species